UGGUUCUCCCGUUAAACAUCUCGAGCUCGAGCUCAGAUCGACCUCGGCUGGCUCAGAAUCCUCCAGAUUUAGGUGGCAGGCUCGCUCGAUCUCGGCUCAUUGACAGCCUUCCCGCUCAGAGGGCUCAGCCGCCAGGGGCCUCAAGCCUUCAAGUUCAUCUCCUCCCUUGCUCUUCCUUCCCUGGCGGCGGCGACUGGGCGAGCGGCGGCGCCAUUUGUCCUGUCUUCGCCCAUCCCUUUGCCGGCGACGAGCGCAUCCUCCAGGCCAAGGCACCAAGCGUCAUGUCGGAAAGAGGUCGACUGCCAAGGCGUCCUAUUGGUGAUCGCAGGGGGUACAAUGAAGUCCGCCUAGUUGAGCCCAGAGGGUAUCCUGAAGCCCGUGUGGUUGAUGAACGUGUGGGUUAUCUUGACACCCGUCUGGUUGAUGGACGUAGGAGCUACCCUGGUGUUCGUAUGGUUGAUGACCAUAGGGGCUAUUCUGCCAUUCGCAUUGAUGACUGUAGGGCAUAUCCUGACAUCCAUGAAGGCCCACGCAUGAGGGGAGCUCCUCACCCUCACCCAGCUGUUCUAGAGGAAGAGCUUGAGUCACUGGAACUUGAACUCCGGAGGCUUUUGGCAGAUAACCGUGCUCUGGCUGAGGAGCAUGAAGAUUUAAACAGGGAAUUACAAGCUGGAAAAGAUGAGAUCCGCCACUUGAACAUGAUCAUUUCAGACAUUACUGCUGAGAAGGAGGCUUAUAUCAGUAAGCUUGUGGACAAGAAGAGGAAGCUUGAAGCUGAACUUAGAGCAAAUGAGCACUUACGAGAUGAGAUUGUGCAGCUUCGUGGUGAAAUUGAGAAGCUCAUUGGUGCUAGGAAAGAACUCUCUGCAGAGGCUGCAUCUCUCAUGGAAGAUCUGACCAGGGAAAGAUCUGUUAAGCAGCAGCUACCUAUGCUGAAAGCAGAGCUUGAUGGUCUGCAACAGGAACUUAUUCAUGUGAGGACUGCUUGUGAACUAGAGCGAAAAGGGAAUUUUGAGUUGGUGGAACAAAGGAAGGCUAUGGAGAAGAAUAUGAUUUCUAUGGCACAAGAGAUUGAACAGAUGCGAGCUGAAUUUGCUAAAUGUGAAGUGAGACCAUGGGGUACAGGUGGAACAUAUGGGAUGCAGAUGGGCAGCCCUGAAGUGGCCUUCACUAAGUCAUAUGAAGAUGGUUAUAAUAUCCAUGCGGGGGUUUCUGAGAAAGGUCCUCUGCAUCCUCCUGAAUCUGGUCCAUGGGGGACUUAUGACAAGAAUCGCCUUCAGUACCGCUAAGAUCACAAUUAUUAUAAUCAUGGGAGAAAGAGUUACCUUCUAAGUGUUAACCUGUCAUGUCACAUACUCACAUGGGUGAAAUCCUUAGUUGUUCGGGUUAUGAACUGUAAUGGCGAUACCCUAUAUCAAGAUAUGUACACAGUAACCCAAGACUCAGAUGGAUUAUCAGUUGGAGAUAUGAGAAACACAAACACCCUCAUGGAAUCAUAUGAAGGCACAGAAGCACAACAUCAAAUGUUGCAAUACUUGACGGAACAUGAAUGUGACACCACCAUAGGUGACUUGGUUCAUAAGCAGGCAUUAUUUUGUUGCAGUUCCCUAUAUGGAGCAUGUGAAAAUGCUUUUCAGUGCAUCAAAGCUGGGGAACUUUGGUUCACUUGGAAGCCUUUGCCCCAUGUCAUAUCAUGAUUUCCUCUGUGUAGGAAAAAUGAGAAUAGGCUGCUGCAAAUGAGAGCUUACAGUUUUCUUCAUUGAUCGGUUAGCUUGUGUCAGGCCUUCAAAUUUCCAAGCUAAACAUAUUCAGGGUGUUUAGCUGCCUGCCCCUUUUGCUCCUGGAACAAAUCAGUUCAGUGUCUUGAUUAGUUAUUUAUUUUCAAUAUCUGGAUGAACCUACCUGCUUAUAGAGCAAUGGAGCUUGAGAUUUGAGAUCAGUAGAGCAAUGUGAGCUUCUGUAAUCAGGAAUAUGAGCAAAGCAAAAGACUGGAUGCAAGAGCACGUAUGGGUUGAACAGAGUCCAUAACUUGCGGAUGUGACUGAAGCCAGAAUGUGGCAUUGAGGGUGCUGAUACUGUUAGUUUGUCAUUUUUUUCCUCAAAACUGUUGUUAUGACUGCACUCAUGGUUGUCAUGGCCAAACAAAGUUAGAUGCCAUAGGACCUGCCCAUGGAACAUGUUGCCAGCAAGCUAUGUACGGUAUUAUCAUGUUUAUGCUGCUUGCUUUUGCUGUGGUACCUCCACUAAAGCUUUGCCUGGUGUGGUCAAGGAGGCUGUUUAUUGGAAAGUUCAGGAAGGUUUUGUACGUGUAAAAACAGAAUGGAAAGUGCACACGAAGCUGUCUAGCAAAAGGGAAACCGAGGAUUUACAGCUCCAUGCAGUGUCCCCGAUGCGUCACAGUUUGCAUCAUUCGACUUUGGUAGUUAUCUGCCGUGUCUGCAAAUUCACAUUCACUGGCCUGAACAUAUCGUUUUCUGAAUUCAACUCCACAGGUGUGAGGUGUUUGGUCCCAUUCUUGGAAAGUAUCGGAGACUGACAAUGACAAAAUGGUAAUGACCUCAUGGAUCAUCCUCGUUUUUUUUUGUUGAAAACAUGGAUCAUCCUCUGUUGGCACUGGCCAUGCGCAAUCGUUCUAUAUGGACUGACUGAAAGUAAAAUGCCCAAUCAGCGCCUUCUCUCGUUGUUCCUAUAAUUUGUACAAUUUUACCCAUUGUUCCAAAGGCUCCACAGAAAAAAUUUCCCUACAGGACUGAAUCCUCUUAAAUUUCUCUGAUUGAACUCCAAUCCCAAGGGAGGCCAUUUAUUCUUAAAUUAAUCAUCACCGAAUGAUUUAAGCUCUUUGACCUUAUGGUUGUAUUGAAGCUGCAGAAAAGGGUUGUAUUGUAGUGGAACUCUGGGACGGAUAGCAACUAGGGGUGAAAACGGUCGGGGUAAAUCCCGUUCCGUUCCGCUCCAACUUCUACAUUUUAUCUCUUCGUUUUCGUAUUUUCGGACAAAUUCGAAAUUGGUAUGAAAUACGGGAUGUCAAAUUUGGAAACGUGAUGGAAACGGUUUGGUUUGUAUCCCGAUUGUUUUCAUAUUUUCUGUAUUUUAUCAGAAUAUCCCGUUUUUACUAAUGUUUUUACUACUA